ACAAAUAGUUCUGUCUUCAAAUUUGACAACAGAUGUUUUGGGGAUUUUCCAUUUGUAAUGACAUAAAAGAAGCAACACUGUACGUUCAUAAAUUCGCUGCGCCAAGUAAUGAACCACAACACAAAUGCAACACUACUCUUGCCUUCAUUCAUCAAAUAUGGCUGCUAGUCGUCGGUGGUGUCAAGUGUUUUUCUUUUCUACCUGCUAAAGAUUUGUGAAUUUGUUGUGGAAAAACACUUAAAUAGUAAAUAAAAACUAUUUUAAAAUAUACAUAAAGCAGUAGAAUAUUAUUUGAAAUAAUUUAAAGAAUUCGUGCAUAUUCAAUAAAGUUGUAAUUUGUAAAAAAGUUCUAACGCAAAAAUUUUUGGCAAGCAGCAGCAAUAAAAAUCGAUUCUUCAAGCAGAAAAAAAAACAAGUUAAAAAAUUUAAACCAAAAAAGUUUUAUGAAAUUUGGCAAUAAAGUUGAUUUAUAAGUCAACUUGAUUUUAAUAUAAUUCAGAAAAUUAUACAAUUGCAAUAUGUGCAAAUUUAAAAAUUAUUGUUUGAAAAUUCCUUUAAUUUUUUUAAUACAACGACUUCCUUGUUAAAAGCAAAAACACAAAAAAAACGACAAAAAUACCAACACUAAAAUUCACAUACACACAUGCGCCCCCCUCAACUCACAACGAAGGCACAAAAUAAUAUAUGAAAUCAAAGUGUAUUCCUGUUUAAAUAUUCUAAAUGAUUUAAUCUAACGCUAAUUUUAAGUCAAUAUUAAUAAAAUAACAUUUUUGUAUUAAAUAUUAAAGUAGAUUUAAUUAUCGCUUCAACUGCGUAUUUGUGUUUAUUUUAAGUGUCAGGGUGAACAAACAAAAGCGAGGAGUUAUGCUUUUUUUGUUGUGGCAAAUGUAAAUUAAAUAAAUAUUCAAUUAGAUGUGUGUGCACAUUUGUUAUUAAAUCAGUGAAAAUUUUGUGUAAAUAUAUAAAGUGCAUUUUUGGGGGAGAAACGAAAUAUACGAGUUGAUCUCAAUUCUCGAACAACGAAUCGAAGCAAAAGCAACAAAAAUUAACAUCAGCACCUACUACAUUCCUCCUUCCUCCCUGCAACGUAUUUUCUAGACUACGCUAACGCUUAAUUGUCUUCGCUUUCGCCUGUCACCUUUCAUGGAGCACCGCACCAAGUCAACAAACUGAAACGAAAUAUUCUACAAAAACAAAAACAAUAACUUGUGUUGUUUUUGCCAUCACAAUUAAUUAAGCAGAAUUUUUAUAUUGUGCAUGACGUUUUGAUGGUCGCGGAUUUUACUGUUUACUGCUGCUCCUGAGUCAUCCAUCCAUUCCCUGUUGUAACCUGCAACAAGCCGUUCCCAUAUGUAUAGGCAACGUUCGUAACGUUCUCUAUUAACGAAACAAACGAAAUCCAACAACUCCAACAACAAAUUCAUAAGUCGUCAAUUGGAGGAAAUUUAACAGACACUUCAAUUCCACUUCACUUAGCAGUGGCAGCGGCAGCGGCAAAAAUAUUUUAAACACGAAGCCUUGCAAAGGACAUAAAAGGCUAACACCACAAACAGCCGAUUUGUUUACUCGUCAUAACGUGCAAUAAAAAGGUUAUAAAAACUUUUUACAUUAUUCGCUGUGCUGUCAGUGGGAAGUGGGCUGGAAGUAUUUUGAGAAAAGUGGACAAGCUCCACAACUUCGAGUCUUUUCUAGUUGAAAUUUAAACGGAACACAAACACCACAACACAAAAUGUCAAC